rnacentral:rRNA from 1 species
ACGCUCGACACCUACGGGAGGCAGCAGUCGGGAAUAUUGCGCAAUGGAGGAAACUCUGACGCAGUGACGCCGCGUAUAGGAAGAAGGUUUUCGGAUUGUAAACUAUUGUCGUUAGGGAAGAUACAAGACAGUACCUAAGGAGGAAGCACCGGCUAACUAUGUGCCAGCAGCCGUGGUAAUCUGAGCGGGCUGGCAAGGC